UUACCUGGUUGAUCCUGCCAGUAGUCAUAUGCUUGUCUCAAAGAUUAAGCCAUGCAUGUCUAAGUACAGGCCGAACUAAGGCGAAACCGCGAAUGGCUCAUUAAAUCAGUUAUGGUUCAUUGGAUCUUACCUUGUCCUACUUGGAUAACUGUGGUAAUUCUAGAGCUAAUACAUGCUUGCCCAGCCCCGACCGCAAGGGAAGGGGCGCUUUUAUUAGAUCAAAACCAAUCGGGCUUCGGUCCGUCCUCUCAGUGGUGACUCUGAAUAACUUUGAGCCGAGCGCACGGUCUCCGCACCGGCGCCGUAUCCUUCAAGUGUCUGCCUUAUCAGCUUUCGAUUGUAGGUUAUGCGCCUACAAUGGCUAUAACGGGUAACGGGGAAUCAGGGUUCGAUUCCGGAGAGGGAGCCUAAGAAACGGCUACCACAUCCAAGGAAGGCAGCAGGCGCGCAAAUUACCCACUCCCGGCCACGGGGAGGUAGUGACGAAAAAUAACGAUGAAGGACUCAUCCGAGGCCUCGCAUUGGGAAUGAGUACACCUUAAAUCCUUUAACGAGGAUCUCUUGGAGGGCAAGCUUGGUGCCAGCAGCCGCGGUAAUUCCAGCUCCAAUACGGUAUAUUAAAGUGGCUGCGGUUAAAAAGCUCUUAUUUGGAUUUCAGUUCCGGACCGACGGUACACCGCCCGGUGCUUGCUGUCGGGUUCCGAACGUGCUCACGCCGGACUCGGUCGAGGUGUCUCUAAACGGGUGUCUCGGCGCGGUCGGAACGUUUACUUUGAAAAAAUUAGAGUGCUCAGCGCUAGCUGUUACCCCCGAAUAAUCUGUGCAUGGAAUAAUGGAAUAGGACCUCGGUUCUAUUUUGUUGGUUUUCGGAGCCCGAGGUAAUGAUUAAUAGGAACAGACGGGGGCAUUCGUAUUGCGACGUUAGAGGUGAAAUUCUUGGAUCGUCGCAAGACGAACUACUGCGAAAGCAUUUGCCAAGAAUGUUUUCAUUAAUCAAGAACGAAAGUUAGAGGUUCGAAGGCGAUCAGAUACCGCCCUAGUUCUAACCAUAAACGAUGCCAACUAGCGAUCCGCCGGCGUUAUUCCUAUGACUCGGCGGGCAGAUUCCGGGAAACCAAAGUCUUUGGGUUCCGGGGGAAGUAUGGUUGCAAAUCUGAAACUUAAAGGAAUUGACGUAAGGGCACCACCAGGAGUGGAGCCUGCGGCUUAAUUUGACUCAACACGGGGAACCUCACCCGGCCCGGACACCGCCAGGAUUGACAGAUUGAGAGGUCUUUCUCGAUUCGGGGGGUGGUGGUGCCUGGCCCGUUCUUAGUUGUGGAUGAUUUG
rnacentral:rRNA from 1 species